GAAAUGUGAUGCUGUGUUGCAAGCCAUGGCUUAAUCCAUUAUACCAGAAUGCCAGCCUCUCCUCUUAUAUUUGAAUCCCACAGGACGAAAAAUACCAGAACACUGAACCAGAAAUGUAUUCUAUUUUUCUUAUAACUUUUACUAUCAUAUCACAAGUAUGAGUUGAAUAUCUGGAGAAGUAGAAAUUUCUUUUUUCUUAAAAAAAUGUAGUAGCACAGCCUAAAUUGUUACCUAUCCUAUGAAUUUGCAGAGAAUCCAACUUUAAACAUGCUCUCCCUCCUGUAGCUUUGUGUUUGCUCAAUCUCUUUUUUACCUAAAGUUAUAGGAAAUAUUUUAGAAAUUUCAUUUUUUCACAUCAGAAGGAUUAACUUAUCUCUGUAGUUGGUUGCCAUCUGUAAUCACACAUGUAGAUAUAAAUAUUUCACAAAUAGGACUAUGGAUUCAUGGCGAUGAGUUAGAUGUGCUUCUUGGUCUCACCCUGCCAAUAGCAGUGGAUGUCUAUAAAUAUUUUACCAGUUUUGCAAGCCCUCUGUCAAUUUCUGCAGUAUUUAUUUUGCCUGUGCGGUUCCUCAGAUGGAAAUGAGGACAGGAAGACUGCCCUUCUGAACCUCCUCUCUGUCAAAGGACUUCUAUGGAUUUUCAGCAUGUGGAGGAAGAUCAGAAAGUCUCCGCAGAACUUCUGCCAAGCUGCUGAAGUCAGACUUCCCACACUCUCCUGGGUCUCGUCAGUUCUUAUCAAAGAUGGAGAGGUGGCAGCAGCUGCUUCAGAGAAGGAAGCGAUUGGGCCAUGGGAAAUGAAAACUAACAUUGGGAAGCACAAGGCUCCUAUCAAGCAUCACUUACUUUAUCUCUGGCCAUCACAAAAGCUUGGGAUUGUAUGGAGAGGGGUGUUGAGACCAGCAGGUCUUGGAAUAUUUAUUUCUACAUAUGCAUUGCAAAAGUUGUGUGGUUGGGACCCACACUUUAAGAGGAAUAUAUUGGGACUUUUUUUGAACCGCUUGACCUUCUUUAGCUCUCUUGUUUAAACCUCAUCCCAUUCAUUCAGCAUAUUAGGUGCCUGCAUGGCUAAUAACGCCUAACCUCCUGGCUCAGUACACUGAAGGCUUCUUGGAGGGCUUACAAAGCAUUUUGAAGAGUUAAAUGUAAAUGAAUCAGGAACACAUGGAUUCAAUUUCCCUGGAAAUUCACAUGUGCUUAGAAAUGAAGGGGGGCAGUGUCUGGCCAAAUGUGCUUUGAUUUAUCUGACCCCAAAAUAUACUCCUCCCCUUCCUUUCCUCCCCUCAAAAUCAUUCAAAACUUUGGUUAAUGUCAAACCAUAGCUGGGUUCUUGAGACUCGAAAACCGAAAUGGUUUGUGUUCCUGGAAUACUCCAUUGAAUUAAAAAGGGCAUUCAUGGAGUCUUAUUCUAUCCUCUCCACCUCCAGCUAAAGAGCUCACAUGAUUUUCCUCUAUUCAGUGAGGUUAAAUUAAAACAAGGAUGUGAUGACAUUAGCUCAAUCACAGAACUAACCACCUACGGCAAUCCAUGGAAGCCCUCUGUUCCUGUGAUGAACAUUUUCAUUCACAGGAUGUUGCCUUACAAAACCUUUCUGCCAAUAAAAAUCAGGCUUUUUUUCCUAGGAAACCA
ensembl:lncRNA